UGCGGGGGGGGCAAGCGUUGUUCGGAAUUACUGGGCGUAAAGGGCUCGUAGGCGGCCAACUAAGUCGGACGUGAAAUCCCUCGGCUUAACCGGGGAACUGCGUCCGAUACUGGAUGGCUUGAGUGUGGGAGAGGGAUGCGGAAUUCCAGGUGUAGCGGUGAAAUGCGUAGAUAUCUGGAGGAACACCGGUGGCGAAGGCGGCAUCCUGGACUACUACUGACGCUGAGGGAGCGAAAGCCAGGGGAGCAAACGGG
rnacentral:rRNA from 1 species